CCUACGGGAGGCAGCAGUGAGGAAUAUUGGUCAAUGGACGAGAGUCUGAACCAGCCAAGUAGCGUGAAGGAUGACUGCCCUAUGGGUUGUAAACUUCUUUUAUAUGGGAAUAACAUGUUCCACGUGGGGGAUUUUGUAUGUAUCAGAUGAAUAAGGAGCGGCUAGCUCCGUGCCAGCAGCCGCGGUAAUACGGAGGAUCCGAGCGUUAUCCGGAUUGAGUGGGUUUAAAGGGAGCGUAGGUGGAUUGUUAAGUCAGUGGUGAAAGUUUGCGGCUCAACCGUAAAAUUGCAGUUGAAACUGGCAGUCUGGAGUACAGUAGAGGUGGUCGGAAUUCGUGGUGUAGCGGUGAAAUGCUUAGAUAUCACGAAGAACUCCGAUUGCGAAGGCAGUUCACUGGACUGCAACUGACACUGAGGCUCGAAAGUGUGGGUAUCAAACAGGAUUAGAUACCCGUGUAGUC
rnacentral:rRNA from 1 species